CAAAAUAUAGCUUAAAUAAAGCAUUUUGCUUACACCAAAAAAAUAUUUGUUAACCAAAUUAUUUUGA
rnacentral:tRNA from 1 species